rnacentral:rRNA from 1 species
AAUGGGCGAAAGCCUGACGCAGCAACGCCGCGUGAGUGAUGAAGGCCUUCGGGUCGUAAAGCUCUGUCAGAAGGGAAGAAAUGGUAGGGUGUUAAUACCAUCUUUUCUUGACGGUACCUUCAAAGGAAGCACCGGCUAACUCCGUGCCAGCAGCCGCGGUAAUACGGAGGAUCCUAGCGUUAUCCGGAUUUACUGGGUUUAAAGGGUGCGUAGGCGGGGCGCUAGGUCAGCGGGGAAAGGCGGCGGCUCAACCGGCGGACUGCCGUGGAGACUGGCGCUCUUGAAUUCGGUCGGGGCGGGUGGAAUUCGUGGUGUAGCGGUGAAAUGCAUAGAUAUCACGAGGAACGCCGAUAGCGAAGGCAGCUCGCCGGGCCGGGAUUGACGCUGAGGCACGAAAGCGUGGGGAUCGAA